GUUACAAUUCGUGAUGGGUUGGCUCUUCAUGGCAUCGAGGCGGACAUGCCAUUGGCUGAAUCGGAAGAUGAUGAUGAUGUUCACAUACUAACUCAAGAGGAGGAGUUUUUAACUCUUUAUCCUAGGAAGGAUCUGAAAGAGCUCAAUGAGACUGAGGAGGAUGGUGUGUUUACGGUUGUAGCACGAGUUACUAGCCUUGCUGAAGGGGAGAAGUGGUGGUACUUUGCAUGCAGUUGCCACAACAACUGAGGAUGGAACAUUUUACUGUUCUGGAUGCCGCAAACCUGUAUUGUCCGGAACUCCUAGGCUCAAACUAAAGGAAGAAGUUGAGGAUGCCUUUGAUUGUGGUACAUUUGUCAUAUUUGACACUGAUUGCCAACUACUUCUUAACAAAUCAUGCAAAGAGUUGGUCAUGAUCUCAAAGGUUUAAUGUGAUAUAUGAAGCAUUUUUUAUUGGAAGAGCUGGACAUUACUUGCUAUAACUUGUGCUAAUAAGUUCUGACUAUAUAUUGUUUUUAAGCGAAGUCUCCAUAUGAAUACCCGGCUGAGAUUGAGACUAUCAUUGGUAGAGAACUCUUAUUCAAAUAUGAGAAGUCAAUUGGCCAUGGGACCAAGUUUGAUGAUUCGUACAAGGUUAAGAAAAUAUGUUCCUAAUUCGCUGUGAUUGAGAGUUUCAAGGACAAGUCAAAGGUUCAAACACUAAGCAAGGUAUUCAUUUCAC